rnacentral:lncRNA from 1 species
ACAAGAAAGAGAAGGAAUACCAGGAAAUCGAGGAGCAGGAGAGUUUGGUUGGAAGCUUUGCAACAGAUGCAUCAGCCCCUAAUGGAGAACAGGAUCCAUGUCCAGCUUAAUUGUCUCCAGAGGAAACAGUUUCCAGCCGCAGUUUCAAGUACAUCUUUCUCUUUGUUUUCUCUACUUCUCCCUUCCUAAGUACUGAAGUGACCCUUGCAAUAGGAAGAAAGCAGGCAUUACAUCCCUGGAAGUAUUUGUUUAGACCUCUGCACCAGGAAAUUAAAGGAGCCAUUUUAAUGGGUAUGGGGAGGGGUAUGAUUCAUCUGGAAAAAGCUGGACUGGGACUGAGCCCCGGGAUGUGUGUGUGUGUGUGUGUGUGUGUGUGUGUGUGUGUGUGUGUGUCCACUCUCAUAGUUGUCAUUAUCUGAAUGCAUGUGUGUAAAAAGAGAUUAGAUUUGGAGAUUGUGCAUUUAGUCUGAAUUUGAAAGGCUUUCCAGUUUGUGAGCUGAAAAGGUUUGUGCUCUAAGUACAUUACUUCUUUUAUUUUGUUUUCAAAGAAGCCCUCUGGAUUUCAAUCUUGAGGCAAAUGUGUCCCUGAAAUGCCACAGGAGGCCUACAUGUUCCCUACUCUUUAGCUUUAAGGACUUGGUGUUGAUUGAUAGUACCCUUCCCCCUGAGUCAGCUCCCAGGCAUGUGAAGGAGAGGCGGGUGGGGUUUAUACAAAUUCCAUUUCCCAACUUUCUCACAGCUAAUCUAGAUUAGUCUUGGGCUUCUGAACAGUGCAAACAAGUCCUCAGGGAAAAGAAUAUGUAACUUAUAAUUUUCUGUUAGGGGGUGAAGGAUGAAGAAACAGUAAGGAAACAAACAAUAAAUUGAGGAUAAAAACUGGGGUUCUGGAGACGAUGCGAGUAAUCCAGGAAAGUUUGAACUCUCAGAUCUGUCAGUUAACAGCGUUAUAAAUGAAGAACUGAACAGAGCUCUGGUUUGGACAGAUCAAACAGUAUGGUUUCAUGUUUAUGUGUCAAAAAUAUAACUCCUUCCUCUCUGUGGAUGUCUUUAUCCUUGUCUUCUCACCCCAGCCGAGGAUGCAGAGAGAUGCACACAAACACCCUGUAUUGCAACAAGAAGCAUUUAUUUUCCUAGGGGCGAAACUGGGCUUAAACGCUAGUUCCUCCCUAACCCUAAACGUACGGGGAAAGUGCGGUCUUCUGUCUGCUAGGAUUUGCUGUUUCACAUUGCUAGGAAGAGGACUGAGGUGAUUAAAAACGAAACAAGGUUAGCUGGAAAAGGCUGUGACAUGUGUUUCAGAUCCGCGAUGGCUUCCAUGGGGGCGUCCAGCAGGCUGCAUGAUUGACACCUAGCAAUAGUUGGGGGUUUGCUCAAUUUUCACCUCUGAGAAUUUAAUUCUCUACAACAUGAAAAUUCCUCCACUGCUGUCUUAGAAGUUAUGUAUCUAUUCACCACAGCACAUCUUCAGUGAGCUAUCUUCUAUGAAAGACGAUGUGUUCUCUCUUCAAUAUUUACAAUCAAGGGCCUGUGCACACAGUAGGCCCACCUGAAGAGCUCCAAGUGUCUCAAUCUCUGGGAAUGGGAGUAAAUUACUCAUUCUUUUUCAGUUGAGUAAUUUAUGAGAGAAAUGAAUGACUGAAUUUGAACUCUGCCCUACCAACUGCCCAGCCAAGGGGGUUGAUGUAUAACCUCUCCAUCAAACCUGCUUCUUGAACAAUAAAAUGUUCUCCUUAACCUUUGUAUGCUUUAUGGGUUUGGGGUGCAUUUUAAUGUUUCAUUGAAGACAAUCACAUUUCUAAACAUACUGGCUUCAUUUUGUAAAUUCUUUAAGAAUUACUAAGUCUGCAAAACAAGGCACAGCAGAAGACUUCCAGACCUUUAAUGCAGAAACUUCCUGUUAAAGUGUCUAAUAUUUGUCCCAUAAAUAUGUAGCUCUACUAACAAAAAUGUGUAUAAAUAUUCAUUAAAGUGUGUACUUAGCAAAA